UCUACAAGGUGUCUAAAGCGUUCCACAGGGAUGCUGGUCCAUGUGGACUCUACAAGGUGUCUAAAGCGUUCCACAGGGAUGCUGGUCCAUGUGGACUCUACAAGGUGUCUAAAGCGUUCCACAGGGAUGCUGGCCCAUGUUGACUCUACAAGGUGUUGAAAGCGUUCCACAGGGAUGCUGGCCCAUGUUGACUCUACAAGGUGUUGAAAGCGUUCCACAGGGAUGCUGGGCCAUGUUGACUCUACAAGGUGUUGAAAGCGUUCCACAGGGAUGCUGGGCCAUGUUGACUCUACAAGGUGUCGAAAGCGUUCCACAGGGAUGCUGGUCCAUGUUGACUCUACAAGGUGUUGAAAGCGUUCCACAGGGAUGCUGGCCCAUGUUGACUCUACAAGGUGUCUAAAGCGUUCCACAGGGAUGCUGGACCAUGUUGACUCUACAAGGUGUCUAAAGCGUUCCACAGGGAUGCUGGCCCAUGUUGACUCUACAAGGUGUUGAAAGCGUUCCACAGGGAUGCUGGCCCAUGUUGACUCUACAAGGUGUUGAAAGUGUUCCACAGGGAUGCUGGCCCAUGUUGACUCUACAAGGUGUUGAAAGCGUUCCACAGGGAUGCUGGUCCAUGUUGACUCUACAAGGUGUUGAAAGCGUUCCACAGGGAUGCUGGCCCAUGUUGACUCUACAAGGUGUUGAAAGCGUUCCACAGGGAUGCUGGUCCAUGUUGACUCUACAAGGUGUUGAAAGCGUUCCACAGGGAUGCUGGCCCAUGUUGACUCUACAAGGUGUUGAAAGCGUUCCACAGGGAUGCUGGCCCAUGUUGACUCUACAAGGUGUUGAAAGUGUUCCACAGGGAUGCU